rnacentral:rRNA from 1 species
UACGUAGGGGGCUAGCGUUGUCCGGAAUCAUUGGGCGUAAAGCGCGUGUAGGCGGUUCGGUAAGUCUGCUGUGAAAGUCGGGGGGCUCAACCCCUCGGAUGCCGGUGGAUACUGGCCGGGCUAGAGUACGGAAGAGGCGAGUGGAAUUCCUGGUGUAGCGGUGAAAUGCGCAGAUAUCAGGAGGAACACCAAUUGCGAAGGCAGCUCGCUGGGACGUUACUGACGCUGAGACGCGAAAGCGUGGGGAGCAAACAGG